AUUCCUAUAGGAUCCUAUAGGAAUUCCUAUAGGAUCCUAUAGGAAUUCCUAUAGGAUCCUAUAGGAAUUCCUAUAGGAUCCUAUAGGAAUU